GAUGAACGCUGGCGGCGUGCCUAAUACAUGCAAGUCGAGCGAACGGACGAGAAGCUUGCUUUUCUGAUGUUAGCGGCGGACGGGUGAGUAACACGUGAUAACCUACCUAUAAGACUGGGAUAACUUCGGGAAACCGGAGCUAAUACCGGAUAAUAUUUUGAACCGCAUGGUUCAAAAGUGAAAGACGGUCUUGCUGUCACUUAUAGAUGGAUCCGCGCUGCAUUAGCUAGUUGGUAAGGUAACGGCUUACCAAGGCAACGAUGCAUAGCCGACCUGAGAGGGUGAUCGGCCACACUGGAACUGAGACACGGUCCAGACUCCUACGGGAGGCAGCAGUAGGGAAUCUUCCGCAAUGGGCGAAAGCCUGACGGAGCAACGCCGCGUGAGUGAUGAAGGUCUUCGGAUCGUAAAACUCUGUUAUUAGGGAAGAACAUAUGUGUAAGUAACUGUGCACAUCCUGACGGUACCUAAUCAGAAAGCCACGGCUAACUACGUG
rnacentral:rRNA from 1 species